AAAUGCUCUACUCUCUUCUCUUUUCCUUGCUGUCCCCGGGGCUGGAGGAGCACAGGCCUCCCAGUCAUGGGGCCUUGGCCUUGUUGGACUCCCAUCUCCUUCCAAAGGUUGAGCCUGGGGGGCCCAGAAGUGAGAGUUUCAAAUGCCGUACAGGACUUCCCUGGUGGCGCAGUGGUUAAGAAUCCGCCUGUCAAUGCGGGGGACAUGGGUUUGAGCCCUGGUCCGGGAAGAUCCCACAUGCCGCGGAGCAGCUAAGCCGAUGCGCCACAACUACUGAACCUGUGAGCCACAACUACUGAAACCCGUGCGCCUAGAGCCCGUGCUUGGCAACAGGAGAAGCCACCGCCAUGAGAAGCCCGUGCACCGGAACGAAGAGUAGCCCCUGCUCGCCGAAACUAGAGAAAGCCUGAGUGCAGCAAUGAAGACCCAGUGCAGCCAAAAAUAAAUAAAAUUUUAAAAAUGCAGUACACAAAACUAAUACAGUAUUAUAUGCCAUUUAUACCUCAAUUUUUAAAACUAUGUCUCCUUUGACAUUAAAAGAGGUGAGUCAAAAAUUUCUGUGACCCGGCUCAGCCAAAUAAAUGAAUAAAUAAUUUUAAAAAUUCUGUGUAUACUUCAAUAAAAAAAUAAAAAUUUUAAAAUUAGAAAAGUUUCCUGCACCUACAUUAGAGCAUCUAAAUAAUUAUCUGGUCUCUUUCCCAAUGAGUUAAGAUCGAAAGCUAUGCCAUUUUCUUUUUUUUUUCCUCUGUGUAUUUGUGCUUUUUUUGAAUUUUAUUUAUUUAUUUUUUAUACAGCACGUUCUUAUUAGUUAUCUAUUUUACACAUAUUGGUGUAUAUAUGUCAAUCCCAAUCUCCCAAUUCAUCCGCCAUUCUCCAUAUUACUUAUAAUUGAAGAAUUUUUUAUUUCUAUUUUAGGUAACUUCUGAUCCUAUUCAUUAGUGUCUACAGGGAGGUGCACAAGGUUUUUGACUCAGCCUGCAUUUGGUUGUGGUGAUUUUCUUUUCACUAUCACUCUCUUAAUAGUCAAAAUUAGACUUGGAAAAUUAAAUAUAGAGAAAGAAUUUAUAGCAUUUUACUUUCUUUCCCUUUGAACAUUUACUUCUGCAGAAGUAGGACUUUCUCCUACAUAGUUUUCAUUUAAGGUGGAAAAAUAUAUUUUGUUCUUUACUGUUGCAGGAUGUUUUCUAGAAGCAAGCAAACGUGAAAGCAUGAGAACUGCCACCUGGAGCCAGCACUACAGUCCAUCCAGCCCAGCAAACGACCUUUAACUCAAAUCUUCCCCCAACUAUUCCAGUGGACACUCCCCUCUAGUGUCCCUGGAAAAAAAAAAAAACACAAAA